GGGCUAUUGGUCUAGUGGUAUGAUUUUCGCUUCGCAUCUUCAUUUCUGCAUCAUCUGCAAAGAUCAUGUGGGAGAGAUACGUCCUGUGAAAGGUCGCCGGUUCAAUUCCGGCAUAGUCCA